AUUGAACGCUGGCGGCAUGCCUUACACAUGCAAGUCGAACGGCAGCACGGGUGCUUGCACCUGGUGGCGAGUGGCGAACGGGUGAGUAAUACAUCGGAACAUGUCCUGUAGUGGGGGAUAGCCCGGCGAAAGCCGGAUUAAUACCGCAUACGAUCUACGGAUGAAAGCGGGGGACCUUCGGGCCUCGCGCUAUAGGGUUGGCCGAUGGCUGAUUAGCUAGUUGGUGGGGUAAAGGCCUACCAAGGCGACGAUCAGUAGCUGGUCUGAGAGGACGACCAGCCACACUGGGACUGAGACUCGGCCCAGACUCCUACGGGAGGCAGCAGUGGGGAAUUUUGGACAAUGGGCGAAAGCCUGAUCCAGCAAUGCCGCGUGUGUGAAGAAGGCCUUCGGGUUGUAAAGCACUUUUGUCCGGAAAGAAAUCCUUGGCUCUAAUACAGUCGGGGGAUGACGGUACCGGAAGAAUAAGCACCGGCUAACUACGUG
rnacentral:rRNA from 1 species